rnacentral:rRNA from 1 species
GAUGAACGCUGGCGGCGUGCCUAAUACAUGCAAGUCGAGCGAACGGACGAGAAGCUUGCUUCUCUGAUGUUAGCGGCGGACGGGUGAGUAACACGUGGAUAACCUACCUAUAAGACUGGGAUAACUUCGGGAAACCGGAGCUAAUACCGGAUAAUAUUUUGAACCGCAUGGUUCAAAAGUGAAAGACGGUCUUGCUGUCACUUAUAGAUGGAUCCGCGCUGCAUUAGCUAGUUGGUAAGGUAACGGCUUACCAAGGCAACGAUGCAUAGCCGACCUGAGAGGGUGAUCGGCCACACUGGAACUGAGACACGGUCCAGACUCCUACGGGAGGCAGCAGUAGGGAAUCUUCCGCAAUGGGCGAAAGCCUGACGGAGCAACGCCGCGUGAGUGAUGAAGGUCUUCGGAUCGUAAAACUCUGUUAUUAGGGAAGAACAUAUGUGUAAGUAACUGUGCACAUCUUGACGGUACCUAAUCAGAAAGCCACGGCUAACUACGUGCCAGCAGCCGCGGUAAUACGUAGGUGGCAAGCGUUAUCCGGAAUUAUUGGGCGUAAAGCGCGCGUAGGCGGUUUUUUAAGUCUGAUGUGAAAGCCCACGGCUCAACCGUGGAGGGUCAUUGGAAACUGGAAAACUUGAGUGCAGAAGAGGAAAGUGGAAUUCCAUGUGUAGCGGUGAAAUGCGCAGAGAUAUGGAGGAACACCAGUGGCGAAGGCGACUUUCUGGUCUGUAACUGACGCUGAUGUGCGAAAGCGUGGGGAUCAAACAGGAUUAGAUACCCUGGUAGUCCACGCCGUAAACGAUGAGUGCUAAGUGUUAGGGGGUUUCCGCCCCUUAGUGCUGCAGCUAACGCAUUAAGCACUCCGCCUGGGGAGUACGACCCCAAGGUUGAAACUCAAAGGAAUUGACGGGGACCCGCACAAGCGGUGGAGCAUGUGGUUUAAUUCGAAGCAACGCGAAGAACCUUACCAAAUCUUGACAUCCUUUGACAACUCUAGAGAUAGAGCCUUCCCCCUCGGGGGGCAAAGUGACAGGUGGUGCAUGGUUGUCGUCAGCUCGUGUCGUGAGAUGUUGGGUUAAGUCCCGCAACGAGCGCAACCCUUAAGCUUAGUUGCCAUCAUUAAGUUGGGCACUCUAAGUUGACUGCCGGUGACAAACCGGAGGAAGGUGGGGAUGACGUCAAAUCAUCAUGCCCCUUAUGAUUUGGGCUACACACGUGCUACAAUGGACAAUACAAAGGGCAGCGAAACCGCGAGGUCAAGCAAAUCCCAUAAAGUUGUUCUCAGUUCGGAUUGUAGUCUGCAACUCGACUACAUGAAGCUGGAAUCGCUAGUAAUCGUAGAUCAGCAUGCUACGGUGAAUACGUUCCCGGGUCU